GGAAAGUCCAGACAGCUAAUAUCUGGUAGGAGCAGAGACAGAGAAGAAUUGAAGCAAAGCAGAAGGUAGAGUCCAUGCAACAAGAGCUACAGGAAACUGAUCUGAAAUCAGCUGAAAACAAAACAUCUGAAGCCUGCAGCUGAGGGUCUUAUAUUCUCCAGCAGGGACAGCAAGCAGUCUACAACCACAGCGAGAAUAGGACUCAAACCAAGCACUCAGUCUCACAGCACUUCUUGGACCUAAGCAGCAGAAGACUUGACUCUGAACAGGAUAGAUGGAGGGCAACGGUGAUCCACACGCCUUACUUGCAAGCCACAGUUUGACAUCAGACAAACCAAGGCCUCUGCCCUCCAAGCAAAGCCCGACUGACUCUUUCCUAACUGCAGCCCGGAUGGUGCGGGAAGGACCGCUGGUCGACGGGAGGACAGGACGGCAGUUUUCAACACUUAGACCCUCUCCAUCCAGUUCACAAGACGUUCGUGGUGAGGUUUUCUUGAAGGACAUCAGGAUCAGACGGUACACCAUCAUCUCCAGCAAGAAGACAGAUACAGACAGAAAAACAGACCAUGUGGAAGGGAAACGGACCCCUGAAGGCGCCUCCUCAGCCAAAAGACAAGCAGAGAGACAGAAAUACAUGGUGUGUUUUAGUGCAUCUGGCUGUCGCUUCACAUGCAGACAACUUGUAAGGUUUCAAGUUGCAAAUUUACCUGUAAUAGAUGAGAUUUAGCAAACACUAAAGAUAAUCAGGCUUCAAGAUUUGCUGGUAAAUUUGUAAUAAAAGGUUUGAAAUAGUCAAAUAAA